rnacentral:rRNA from 1 species
GUCCUUUAGAAUAUAAUUUAAGGUCUGGCCUGCCCAAUGAUUUAGAUUUAAUGGCCGCAGUAUUUUGACUGUGCAAAGGUAGCAUAAUCAUUAGUUUUUUAAUUGAAAGCUUGUAUGAAUGGUUGGACGAGAAAAAAUCUGUCUUUAGUUAAUAAUUUGAAUUUAAUUUUUUAGUUAAAAAGCUAAAAUUUUUUUAAAAGACGAGAAGACCCUAUAGAUCUUUAUAUUAAAUUUUAUAAAAUAAAUUAGGAAUUUUAUAAUAUUAUAUUAAAUUUAAUAUUUUAUUGGGGUAAUAAAAAGAUUAAAUAAAUUCUUUUUUUAUUUAAAUAUUUAAUUAUAGUUUUUAGAUCCAGUUUUAUUGAAAUAUGAUUAAGUUACCUUAGGGAUAACAGCGUAAUUUUUUUAAAGAGUUCAUAUCGAUAAAAAAGUUUGCGACCUCGAUGUUGGAUUAAAAUUAAUCUUAGGUGCAGUAGUUUAAGAUUUUGGUCUGUUCGACCAUUGAAUUUUUACA